UACAGAGGGUGCAAGCGUUGUUCGGAAUCACUGGGCAUAAAGCGUAUGUAGGCGGCUCCGUAAGUGUCGGGUGAAAUCCCACGGCCUACCCGUGGAACUGUUCGGCAUACUGCGGAGCUAGAGGAUGGUAGAGGAGAGCGGAACUCUUGGUGGAGCGGUGAAAUGCGUAGAUAUCGUCAAGAACACCGAUAGCGAAGGCAGCUUACUGGGCUGUAACUGACGCUGAGGCACGAAAGUGUGGGGAGCAAACAGG
rnacentral:rRNA from 1 species